GCUUGGUUCUAUGUCCCUGUGGUGUCCUCUGGGUGUUUCCAAGAGCAACAAGAAACGAAUAAAUCUCUGACCCCAGGCUCCAGAAGCAGACAAGCAGAUGAGGAGAUGAACAGAAGAGCAGAAUUGCAGAAUGAUGUGGCAGAAAGAAGAGAAGGAGCAUCUGAAUGCCAAGAGGAGUUUGGCUGGCAGUGGUUGGAGAGAUCAGCCUCUGGAUGGCAAAGCUCCC
rnacentral:lncRNA from 1 species